UUUUUGUUUAAUUUCUCCCCCUUUUUGACAUCAUCAAACACGGUUAACUCUUCCUUUUUCUGAAAUAUUUUAUAAUUUCUUCCCCUUUAGAGUUUUUCACAGAUGUUUGCUCCCCCUUAAUAUAGCAAUUAUCAACAGCAAACAACAACAAAGAGAAGACAAUUUUUCCACAAGAAGAAUAUAUAUAACCAAAAUAUGAUCAAUAUUAUUACAAAAAGGUAGAAAUAUAAGUAAA
rnacentral:lncRNA from 1 species